AUGCAAAAUGGUAUGAGGUAAUAUCCCAUUUUUCUUUGCCCAGGAGUGUACGGCUGUAGACAGUUUAUUAUGAUUUGCAGCAGAAUAUCUGAUACGAACAUGGGACUGCAGAGUGACUGCACUUAUUUUUAAUCCGGGUGAACACUGUGUGAUUUUUAAUAGUCCUUUGUGACUGCUGCUUGUCAGACUGUACGAACACGAUCCCCGCUGCACUGUGAGCCAUGUCACACUGUAGGAUCUCAGUUCUCAUUAAUGUCAGACUGUACAAGACGUGAAAAACCGACGCACACAAUAAGAAUCGUACGGAGUAGGAGACGUCACACUACAGGACUGUGCCUCAAAUCUUCUCACACUGCCAGAAUUUAAUCAGAGGUAAAAUCUGAUCACAACGGUCAUUAAUCUGCUGUUGGGGAACACGUCAAACUACAGAUCAAAGACUACAGAUUUUGGCCCAGGAUUAUAGGAAUCUUUUAGGAUUCUCAAAAUUAGUUUCAGACAUUUAUUAAUUUAUUCAUCAGACGACUAAAUCGUGGUCAAAAUCGUACAGUGUGAACCGGCUUAAGUAUUUAUACUCAGCCGUUGUUUAUAAAUCCAAACAUUUCUGCAUAUUGCAGCUAAAUAUCAGUUAAAACAAUAUGAUUUAAUAUUUAUUCUGCUAGCAUGGAUCUGUCCCUCUUCUGACAUACGCUCAGGGUCUUAUUGUGGUAAAAUGUUUUUCCUUCAGCCUGCUAGGAUGUUCAUGUUAGCAUUGUUGGUGGAUCGUGUAAAGAAAAUAAACUGAUAAAAUGAUGAAUGUGCUCGGAUCUGUACGCACCGUCUAAGAAGAACACCGGUGAUGUGAGCAGAUUAUUGGACUGACAAAAUACAGAACUGGAUGUAGGACCGUGUGGCUAAAACCAGAUGUGAAACAGCAGCACUUGUCCUCAGAACGCUGGAGGGAGUGUGUGAGAAAUGGCCAAACUCCUGUCUACAUUUCUUCUACAGAUGCUGUUUGGUUUCUUUACACCGUGUCUCCUUGAGAUCGCUUCAACUGAUCAUUUAUCUGUCCCUCCUGGAGAGAACAUCACCCUGCUCUGUAACAUCACUAAUUAUUCUGAGAUAUCGUGGUAUCGACUGAGAUCUGAGGAGGUGAAGCUGCUGAUAUCUGCUGAAAAAUUUAAGCUGAAGAAAACCUUUUCCCUCAGUUAUAAUGUGAACGAGAGUCACUUUGAUAUGACAGAAAGCAGCAGUUCAGUCAGUUUAGUGAUUAUUGGAGUUAGAGAGACAGAUCUGGGAUUUUAUUUCUGUGGAGGUCGAAACAAUGCAACACACAUUCAGUUUGGGAAACUCAUCAGACUGGACUUUACAGCUGAUCAGCAUCAUGAGACUGAUCGUUCAGACACACAGCAGUCUGUAGGUCCUGCACUCUGUGGAAUUAUUAUUAUAAUCCUAUCAUGUGUGUGUGCGGUCUUUGUUUCAAUAAGCAUCAUCUGCUCCUCUCUGUACUGUUCCACGCUACAAGGUGAGAACUUACAGCCUGAAGACCAACAUUUACACCGUUCACCCUGUCACACACACUUCCCUUUAUUUAUGACACUUCCUGUUGUUCCAGGCUGUGCAGCAGCCCUUAUACACUAGUGCAGAAUGAAUGUGUAAUGAAAACGUUAGUGACUGUAAAAAGCUGUGUAGUGAAAUCUGUGUGUUUGACAUUUUUGAGAUUGUCGUCUUUGUCUAUGUUAAAUUCUCUUAUUUUUCAGAUAAGUGUUCUUCCACUGGGGACUCAAACGAGAAGGAAGUGGACCUGCACCUGUCUGAUUUGACCUCUGUGACCUACACAAGUGUCUCCUGACGGCUCAGAAAACAUCAGCAUCAUGAGGAUCAGAAUCAGCAGAGAACCUGCUACGAUCCCAUCGACCUCGCACACAUCAAGUACUCACUAAUAAUCCGUGUGGUCUGAAGAUUAAUGACUUCCUGUUCCGCCCCCAAAAGCAUGUUAUCUGGGUGAUUCCCCAACUGUGCCGUCAUUCAGCUCUCGUAACUAUUAAACUUCAAUUUUUAAAUAAUUGUUCAACAAUGAAUCGAGGAAAACGUUCAUUUAACUAUUCAAAAAAGCCUUAACUUCAAACAACAGCAAUAACAAAAUAUUUACAAGGAUUCUUUGGUACAUUUUGCUCUUAAAAGAGUUCCAAGGUUAAAAGUAGUGAUGUUAAAGCUUCAUGAAGAGUUGAAGCAUUAAAGCCAGAUGUGUUGAAGAUGUUUGUUUCUUUGGGCUAUAAGUGCACACUAGAGCUCUAGUGGUUAAAAGACUUUAGUCCUGUGUAACAUGUAACACUGCACUGUGUGUACAGGCCAAUACGAAGUACAUGACUGAUAUAAUCAAUAUCAAAUAAAUGAAUUCCUGAAGGUGAA